GAUAAGGAGCUUGCUCCUUUGACGUUAGCGGCGGACGGGUGAGUAACACGUGGGUAACCUACCUAUAAGACUGGGAUAACUUCGGGAAACCGGAGCUAAUACCGGAUAACAUUUGGAACCGCAUGGUUCUAAAGUGAAAGAUGGUUUUGCUAUCACUUAUAGAUGGACCCGCGCCGUAUUAGCUAGUUGGUAAGGUAACGGCUUACCAAGGCGACGAUACGUAGCCGACCUGAGAGGGUGAUCGGCCACACUGGAACUGAGACACGGUCCAGACUCCUACGGGAGGCAGCAGUAGGGAAUCUUCCGCAAUGGGCGAAAGCCUGACGGAGCAACGCCGCGUGAGUGAUGAAGGGUUUCGGCUCGUAAAACUCUGUUAUUAGGGAAGAACAAACGUGUAAGUAACUGUGCACGUCUUGACGGUACCUAAUCAGAAAGCCACGGCUAACUACGUGCCAGCAGCCGCGGUAAUACGUAGGUGGCAAGCGUUAUCCGGAAUUAUUGGGCGUAAAGCGCGCGUAGGCGGUUUCUUAAGUCUGAUGUGAAAGCCCACGGCUCAACCGUGGAGGGUCAUUGGAAACUGGGAAACUUGAGUGCAGAAGAGGAAAGUGGAAUUCCAUGUGUAGCGGUGAAAUGCGCAGAGAUAUGGAGGAACACCAGUGGCGAAGGCGACUUUCUGGUCUGUAACUGACGCUGAUGUGCGAAAGCGUGGGGAUCAAACAGGAUUAGAUACCCUGGUAGUCCACGCCGUAAACGAUGAGUGCUAAGUGUUAGGGGUUUCCGCCCCUUAGUGCUGCAGCUAACGCAUUAAGCACUCCGCCUGGGGAGUACGACCGC
rnacentral:rRNA from 1 species